rnacentral:tRNA from 1 species
ACCGCGAUAGCUCAGCUCAGGCUUAGAGCAUCUGCCCGCGCGUAUGCGGCAGGGUCGCCGGUUCGAUUCCGGCUCGCGGCA